rnacentral:rRNA from 1 species
GUCGGGAAUUUUGGGCAAUGGGCGAAAGCCUGACCCAGCAACGCCGCGUGAGGGAUGAAGUAUUUCGGUAUGUAAACCUCGAAAGAAUGGGAAGAAUAAAUGACGGUACCAUUUAUAAGCUCCGGCUAACUACGUGCCAGCAGCCGCGGUAAUACGUAGGGAGCAAGCGUUGUUCGGAUUUACUGGGCGUAAAGGGCGCGUAGGCGGCGCGGUAAGUCACUUGUGAAAUCUCUGAGCUUAACUCAGAACGGCCAAGUGAUACUGCUGUGCUAGAGUGCGGAAGAGGCAACCGGAAUUCUUGGUGUAGCGGUGAAAUGCGUAGAUAUCAAGAGGAACACCUGAUGCGAAGGCGGGUUGCUGGGCCGACACUGACGCUGAUGCGCGAAAGCCAGGGGAGCAAAC